rnacentral:rRNA from 1 species
UGGGGAAUUUUGGACAAUGGGCGAAAGCCUGAUCCAGCCAUGCCGCGUGCAGGAUGAAGGCCUUCGGGUUGUAAACUGCUUUUGUACGGAACGAAAAGGUUUGGCCUAAUAAGCUGAGCUCAUGACGGUACCGUAAGAAUAAGCACCGGCUAACUACGUGCCAGCAGCCGCGGUAAUACGUAGGGUGCGAGCGUUAAUCGGAAUUACUGGGCGUAAAGCGUGCGCAGGCGGUGAUGUAAGACAGAUGUGAAAUCCCCGGGCUCAACCUGGGACCUGCAUUUGUGACUGCAUCGCUGGAGUGCGGCAGAGGGGGAUGGAAUUCCGCGUGUAGCAGUGAAAUGCGUAGAUAUGCGGAGGAACACCGACGGCGAAGGCAAUCCCCUGGGCCUGUACUGACGCUCAUGCACGAAAGCGUGGGGAGCAAACA